rnacentral:tRNA from 1 species
GGAGUUGUGCCUGAACUACUAAGGACCACUUUGAUAGAGUGAUUAAUGGGGGUUAAAAUCCCCCCAACUCCU